GACUCGGUGGUGGAUGGUUCACAUCUGCAGGUAUUAAUCCACCCCACUUAUGGGUUAAAUAAUUUGCAGAAGUUGCCUGUUCGACUCAGGCCCGAGUCA